rnacentral:rRNA from 1 species
UGAGGAACAUGACUUUCGGUGGGGGAGUAGCCGGCCCAACGGCCGGGUAAUACCGCGUACGACCUCUUGGGGACAUCCCCGAGUGGUGAAAGCAGCAAUGCGCCGAAAGAGUGCCUCGCGGCCUAUCAGCUAGUUGGUGGGGUAAUGGCUCACCAAGGCGACGACGGGUAGCUGGUCUGAGAGGAUGGCCAGCCACAGUUGGGACUGAGACACCGGCCCAGACCUCCGUACGGGGAGGACGCG